GCAUGCUGCUCACAGAGAUGUUUCCAGGUCUGGAAAAUGCACUUACUGGGACCAGCUUGUUUUGUGAGCAGAAGGUUGUAGCUCAAAAUUUGGCAGUGCCUGUGGAAGAAAACACAUUCUCAGAAGAUAAUGAGGAGCCCAGAAAACCAAAGUUUUCCUCCCUGGGUCUGCAGCUGUGCUUCCAGUGAGUGGUGAGUGCAGCUCAGCAAAGGAAUUGUCACAGAAUGGUGUUCUACUUCCAGUGAGU
rnacentral:lncRNA from 12 species